GUGGAGCCUGCGGCUUAAUUUG
rnacentral:ncRNA from 3 species